rnacentral:misc_RNA from 1 species
UUGUUCGACGACUACCGCGAUGAAGAUUUUUAUGGGCUACCGCGGAAAUACAGUAUUGUCGCUCGGGUAGAAGUUAAAUUCCCGAUUGAACCACGAUUUCGUGACAGACAACAUUUCGUUUUAUCUGACAUCAAUGGAGCCAAGAUCGAGGCCAUAACAUAUAUGUAUGAGACAGUCAAACAUUUCGACAAUUUGCUCCAUGAAAAGCAUGUUUACAAGAUGCAUAAUGUAAAGUUUAGUCUUCAUCCGGGUGAAUUUAAUUUUCGUCAUCUAAAUGGUCCCAUGGAAUUGUGUCUCAACCAACAAACUAUCGUGGAGCCAUACACUUUUCCAAUUCAAAUGGUGUCAUUCCCAAAACAAAUAUUCUUGAACCUUGCUGAUAUUGCUGAGUUGCCAAACAGGACUUUAGUCGACAUUAUGGCUAUUGUAGUCCACUUGGAUACAAUUCAUCGCACAAUGUGGGGCCCUUUCAGAAAGAUUGUUAUAAUGGAUGCUAGGGGGUCUUUACAUAUCAUUAAAGUUUGGGGUGACCUACUAAACAAAAAUGCACUCCGCUGGGCGUUGGCUAAGGAGGAUUAUGGCAUAAUAAUUGGGACUAUGUUUAGGCGGUUCAGAAGACAAGAUGGAGACGAAAAAAUAAAUGUGAAUCAAGAUGAUGAUAGCGAUUGGUUGCAUAGGAAUGAGACAUUCAAGGCAAACGAUGUUUUCACAAUGAGAGACCUUCUGACACCAGGCGGUGUGCAUGAAACGGUUGGUAACACGUCUAACCAUAAUUUGGAAAAGGCCGCCUACUUUAGAGAGCGGUACAAAAACUUAACUCUCGCCGAGAGGGAGUUUAGGCGUGAACGCCUUAGGUUGUACAAUAGUACACCAAAGCGUAAAGGGUCAAAGAUAGAGUACAUACGAAAACGUAGAGCACUGUUGGCUGACACAUUGAGUCAUGAGUCCAUCGCCAUGGAGUCCCCAACAUAUACCCCUGAGGUGUUUAUUCCGAUAAACAUCCGAGAGACGCACUGGUACCUUGCCAUGAUUCAUGCAAGAAAUAUGGAGAUACAAGUGCUCGAUUCACUUGGUACUUCACAAGACCGCAAAGACCUCACUGACUCUAUUAAAGGACUGCAAAGACAAAUUGAUAUGAUAUCUCAACGUAAGGAGUUAAAAGACCACAGGUGGCCAGACCUCCAAGUUGCUUCUUGGCCGCUCAGAGAAAUAGACAUGGGAUAUGCAAAGCAGACAGAUAGCUCUUCAUGUGGCCUCUUUAUUUUGAACUAUAUCGAAUACUGGACAGGGGAUGAAUUGUCUGACAGUUUUACCCAGGAAAAAAUGGCUGAUAUAUUACUAUCUUCAGACCUAAAUAAGAGAAGAGGGUGUCUGUUAUACAAAAAUGAAAAAGAAGUUAACUCUGGAAGCCCAUCAGAUGUUGAGAUAUUAGAAAACCCAACAGAUUCUAAUAAGAGGAAACUACUCCACAUGCUUGAUGAUAGCGAAGUAGUGUAUGAAGAUGAGGAAGGCCCUAUUACUCAAGCAGACUUGCAAAGGUGGUUUGUUGAUGAUUGGGAUAAAAGAGUUCCUGUAAAAGUCUCUACCGAUGGGUGCACCAAUGACUUUCUAAUGGUUGGUCUUUCUACAAAGGACAUGCCAGUGACCAAAGCCGAUUCAAUAGAUGUUUUAUGUGAUUAUAUCAUGGCAAUAAAAGACGAUGCAAUAUUAGAGAUGACAUGGGUGCGAAGUUUCAAUCCUUUUAAGAUAGAAAUAUCUGUCAAAGACCUGCAAAACAUAUUAACGAUAAAUCAAGAUAUGAUUCUAAGAUGUUUUGACAUGGAUGUUCGACUGCUUGCUAAUAAAGAGUCACGUAGGCCGAAAGAAGAAAUCAUAAAUAAUAGAAAGCAUUAUAUGGACAUGCGUUUUUGGAGAAUGGUUGGUUUUGGUAAACUUCCAAAGUACCAUCAGGAUCCUACAACAGAAGAGUUAGCCAAAACACUCGAUUGUUGGCCAUCAAUGAAUUAUUAUAUCACGGGUUGUAGAUAUGUUCUUAUGCCAUGGAAAUUCAAUGGAUGUCACGCCCUUUUCGUAAUAGAUCAUGUUAAAAAGCAUGUGACUUUUAUCGACUUUACACCGACUCAAGAUUGGUGUAAACACAUGCCAUACAAGAGGUUCGCGGAAGCGAUUAUCAUGGCCUCAAAAAAUAUAAGAUUGCUUACAGCAAGAAACGUUCUGGAUGGGCGGAGGAUAUCUUUAAGUGGGAACAUACAAUUCAGACUGGUGUUCCAAUUGACUUAA